rnacentral:rRNA from 1 species
AUUGAACGCUGGCGGCAGGCCUAACACAUGCAAGUCGAGCGGAGCGGCGGUCGGGUGAGUCAUGCCUAGUAAUCUGCUUGGUAGUGGGGGCUAACGUCCGGAAACGGGCGCUAAUACCGCAUACUAUCAGAUGAGCCUUGGUCGGAUUUGCUAGUUGUAGGGGUAAAGGCCUACCAAGGCGACGAUCCGUAACUGGUCUGAGAGGAUGAUCAGGCGCCCUGGACCUGAUACACAGUCCGUACUCCUACGUGAGGCAGCAGUGGGGAAUAUUGGACAGUGGUCGACAGCCUGCUCCAGCCAUGCCGCGUGUGUGAAGAAGGUCAUCGGAUUGUAAAGCACUUAAAAUUGGGGGGCGUAAGCAACAGAAUAAGCACCGGCUGACUUCGUGCCAGCAGCCGCGGUAAUUC